rnacentral:rRNA from 1 species
GAUGAACGCUGGCGGCGCGCCUAACACAUGCAAGUCGAACGAUUAAAGCACCUUCGGGUGUGUAUAAAGUGGCGAACGGCGGAGUAACACGUGGGCAACCUGCCCCUUUAAUUGGGAUAGCUAAGGGAAACCGUGGAUAAUACCGAAUACUUCGAGACUUCCGCAUGGAAGACUCGAGAAAGCUCCGGCGAAGAGGGAUGGGCCCGCGGCCUGUUAGCUUGUUGGUGGGGUAACGGCCUACCAAGGCAAUGAUGGGUAGCGGGUGUGAGCGACCGACCAGCCACAUGAAUACUGAGACACGCCCCAGACUCGUACCGGACUCAGCAGUGUGGAAUCUUGCACAAUGGCCGAAAGCCUGAUGCAGCGACUCCCCGUGCGGGAUGAAGGCCUUCGGGUUGUAAACCGCUUUCAGCAGGGACGAAGCGAAAGUAACGGUACCUGCACAAGAAGCCCCGGCUAACUACGUG